GAUCUCUGACCUGCGUUCUUAGCUGGGACGUCGAGUUCUCCCAGGAUAAUUAUCGACCAGGUGUUCCAAGAUAAUGAAUACUUCCAUAGCAACAAAAGUCUGACAAUAAACGGUUACCUUGAUUUUCACAUUUUCAAAGAAAAAUCCCUCAAUGGCAACUAGACCAGAAGUCUCAACACUGAAUAUGCAAUAAUGGCUACAAGAAAAAGAAAUUCUUGGUCCCCAACAUGGAAAUCCAAGAUGCAAGGAAAUCAUAGGCUC
rnacentral:lncRNA from 1 species